rnacentral:lncRNA from 10 species
AGCGCAGCCCCCGGGGUGGCUCAUUUCGGCAGGGUCUUCAAGUGGGCUGGCUGAGACUUGCAUCUUCCUUCUUGGGCUAUGGUGCAUUAUUAAAGAGAUAGUGGUGGUAAAACCCUUAGCGCCUGGCAUAUUGUAGGCGCUAAGUGUUGGCUGAAUACACCCUGCAGGGUGUUAUGAAUUCUACUGCCAUUAUCUCAUCUGAUCUUUACACAGUCCAAUAAAACAACCAUCAACUAGGAUUACGAGCUCCCUUUUACAGAUGAGGAGAUGGAGGUGCGAUGAGAUCAACAGACACCACGCUGCCCCACUGACUUCUGCAGGCCCAGCCUCUGCCAUACUCUUUGGAGUCCUUGAAUAGCAAACCCUCGCCUGGCUCGCCUCGUGAUAGCUCUGUGACCUCUGAGGCUAGGAGCAAAAGGCCAUGAAGGCUGUACAUGAUAGUUCACACCUGUAAUCCCAGGCCGAGAUAGGAGGAUCACUUGAAGCCAGGAGCUUAAAACGAGACUGGUCAACAUAGCAAGACUCCCAUCUCUACAGAAAAAUUUCAGAAUUAGCCAUGCAUGGUGGCACGUGCCUAUAGUGCCAGCUACUCAGGAUGCUGAAGCAGGAGGAUUGUGUGAGCCCAGGAAUUGGAGGUUACCGUGAACUAUGCGCCACUGCGCUGCAGCCUGGAUGACAAAGCGAGAUCCUGUUUCUAUUAAACAACAACCAAAAAAGGCCAUGAAGCUGCCGCCCUGUUCAUGAGAUCACUGCUGUGGGAGCCUUGAGCUGCCAGGGACGAAGGUUGUUGAGAAGAUUGAGUGAUACAGUCUGCACAGUCAGCCUCCCGGGGCACAAAACAGAGUGGAGAGAGUGUCA